AAAAUAUUUCAUUGUUUUCUUUCUUUGUCUUUCCAUUAAGAGUAAUUUUGUAAGAGAGUUUGUGUUGGGAAACACUUGUGUGAACCCUUUCUUUGGAGUGAUCUUGUGAGGUUAUUCUCUUUGGGUAUUUGGGAUUAAUUAGAGUAUUUACUCUAAUUUUAUACUCUCUUUUGUACUCUUGUUGAUAUAGUGAAAUUGCUCCUCUCCGCUUGUGGAUUAGGUCACACCGAUCUAACCACGGUAAAUUUUUGUGUCUUCUUUAAUUGCUUUAUUUUCGUUAUUAUCAACUUACUAUUGUCUUUGUUAUUGUCAUUAUAACAUUGUUUGGGUAAAUUCCGCACUACCCGAGUUCACAAUCCUAACAAAUUGGUAUCAGAGCCGGAUCCAAUCGGGUUGAUUUCAGUAGCCAUAAAAAAUGACAGUAACAAAGACUUAUGUUGAAAAAUUUGACCGAAGUGCAAACUUCGGGAUGUGACAAUUAAAGAUGGAGGCUAUACUAAUUCAAGAUGGCCUAGAUAUGGCACUAGAAGGAAGGAGAAUAAGCUAGAAAAUAUGAUGGACCUGGAGUUUGCCGUCAUAGACAAAAAGGCAAAAUCAGGUAUCAUUUUAAAUCUCUCAAAUGAGGUUUUACGUGAAGUAUCUGCAGAAUCCAUAGCCAAAGGCAUGUGGGAAAAACUAAAAACCUUGUAUAUAAAGAGGACAGUGGAAAACAGACUAUACCUAAAGCAAAAGCUUUACACAUUUCGUAUGGUUGAAUGUACUUCUAUACUCUCACAUCUUGAUGCAUUUGAUUCUAUUCUUAUGGAUUUGAGUAAUAUUGAUGCUAAAGUUAAUGAUGAGGAUCAAACCGUCUUAUUACUUAUUUCCUUACCCCAAUCAUUUAAGCAUAUUAGAGAUACUAUACUUUAUGGAAAGGAUAAUAUCUCUUACAGGGAAAUCAAUUCUAUCUUAAAAUCAAAAGAACAGAUAGAUAGAUAUAUUACUGGAGAAAGUAGUGUAACCUAUGGGAAAGGUUUAUUUGUAAGAGGUAGAUCUAAUAAAAAAGAAUCAAGUAGUGAGAGGUCUAAAUCAAGGUCAAAGUCUAGAUAUAGAAAUGUGGUGUGCAAAUAUUGUCAUAAGAAAGUUUCUGAAUGCUAUAAGUUGAAAAACAAAGAAAAGCAUAAGGAAAACAAACAUGAACAUCAAAAUACUGACCCCGCUGAAGUAAGUAUAAUUGAUGAUGAGUCUGAUGGAACAAUAUUUUUAGCUACUAGUAAUAGUUUUAAAUCUAACGAUGAGUGGAUUUUGGAUUCGGGUUGUUCUUAUCAUAUGUGUCCGAAUAAGGAUUUAUUUGCCACAUACGAACCUAUUGGAAGUGGAGUUGUCUUGAUGGGCAACAAUGCUCCGUGCAAAGUUUUUGGUAAAGGUACAAUUCAAAUCAAAAUGUGCGAUGGUGUGGUAAGAACUCUCACCGAUGUUAGAUAUGUUCCUGACUUAAAGAAAAAUCUCAUCUCUUUGGGCACUCUAGAAUCUCUUGGGUGCAAAUACACAGGUGAAUGUGCAGUUAUGAAAAUAUCUCUAGGUGCUCUGGUGAUCAUGAAAGCACGCAGAUCUGGUACGUUGUACACUUUGUUGGGAUCCACCGUUAUAGGUGCUGCUGCAGUUUCUACCCAAUCUGAUUCCGACAUCACCAAAUUGUGGCAUAUGCGAUUGGGGCAUAUGAGUAAGAAAAGUCUUUCCAUCCUCGGCAAAAGAGGUCUUAUUUGUGGACAAAGUACCGGGAACAUGGAGUUCUGCGAACACUGUGUGUUCGAAAAGCAGAAAAGAGUCAACUUCAAAUCUCCAGCAAUUCACCGAACAAAAGGUACUUUGGACUAUAUUCAUUCAGAUCUUUGGGGUCCUUCUCGUACCCCGUCAAAAGGUGGUGCUAGGUAUAUGUUAACUUUCAUUGAUGAUUAUUUAAGAAAGGUUUGGGUUUAUUUCCUGAAAAAUAAAAGUAAUGUUUUCUUAACUUUCAAACAAUGAAAAGUUUUGAUUGAGAAGCAAACAGGAAAACAUGUCAAGCGGCUCAGAACGGAUAAUGGCUUAGAAUUUUGUAAUGAUGAGUUCAAUGAAUUUUGCAAAAAUGAAGGAAUUAUUCAACAUCACACUGUGAGGAUGACCCCUCAACAAAACGGUGUUGUAGAAAGGAUAAAUAGAACUCUUUUGGAAAGAGCUUGUUGCAUGAUUCCAAAUGUUGGGUUGACAAAUUCUUUUUGGGCAGAGGCUAUGUCUACAACUUGUUACAUUGUCAACCGUGCUCCUUCUGCACCUUUGAACUUUAAGACUUCGGAGGAAAUGUGGUCAGGUACUCCUGCUAAUUAUUCUGCUUUAAAAAUCUUUGGUUGUCCUGCGUACAUGCAUGUGAAUGAUGGUAAAUUAGAACCAAGGGCAAAAAGGUGCAUUUUCCUUGGAUACGCAUCUGGGGUGAAAGGAUACAUACUGUGGUAUCUUGAUCCCAAGUCACCAAAGUUCAUAAUUAGCAGAGAUGUAACCUUUGAUGAAUCCUCUAUGUUACACCCAAGAAAAGAGUCUUGUAGUUAUAGUAAUACGAAUAAGGAGCAGGGUAUACAUGAGUAAGUGGAGGUUGAACUUGGCAUUCCUUCAAAGCCAAACUCAUCAACCAUGGAGCAAAAUACAGUUGAAACUCCUGAAGUUGAAGCUCCAGAAGUUAUGACUUCUAAAGUUAUACCAAAUGAGUAUUCUAUAGACACACACAGACCAAUGAGAUAAAUUCAAAAACCUGAAAGGUAUGGAGAUUAUGUUGUAUUUGCCUUUUCAAUUGCACAGAAACUGAAGAAAUUGGAGAACCAUCCAAUUAUUCAGAAGCAGUUUCUAAUGUUGAUUCGGCCAAGUGGCUGGUUGCAAUGAAUGAAGAAAUUGAUUCUCUCCACAAGAAUGGUACUUGGUCUCUUGUGAAGCCGCCAUCAGGUAAAAGAAUUGUUGGUUGCAAAUGGGUUUUUGAAGAAAAGAGAUGGAAUUCCAGGGGUUGAAGAUGCGAUGUAUAAAGCACGAUUAGUUUCAAAGGGCUAUAGUCAGAUACAAGGAGUUGAUUUUAAUGAUAUUUUCUCACCUGUAGUUAAACAUAGCUCUAUCCGUGUCUUGCUUGCCUUAGUUUCCAUGUAUAAUUUGGAAUUAGAACAGCUUGAUGUUAAGACAACUUUCUUACAUGGCGAACUUGAGGAACAAAUAUACAUGCAUCAACCUGAAGGAUUUGAAAUUGAAGGAAAAAAAGAUCAUUUUGCUUGUUGAAGAAAUCCUUGUACGGAUUAAAACAAUCUCCAAGACAAUGGUACAAGAGGUUUGAUUCCUUUAUGUUGGGUCAUGGUUAUUCGAGGAGCAUGUAUGAUAGUUGUGUUUACUUCUGGAAGUUAAAUGAUGGUUCAUUUGUUUACUUAUUGUUAUAUGUUGAUGACAUGCUCAUUGCUGCUAAGGAUUUGACAGAAAUUCACAUUUUGAAAAGUAAGCUGAAAAGUGAAUUUGAAAUGAAAGAUUUAGGAGCAGCUAAGAAAAUCCUUGUCAUGGAGAUCAAAAGAGAUCGAGGAACCAAAAGGUUAUUCCUUACCCAGAAGAAGUACUUGGAGAAGGUCUUGGAGAGGUUUGGCAUGAAAGAUGCUAAACCAGUGAGUACUCCUCUUGCUGCUCAUUUUAAGUUAUCAGUUGCUCAAUCACCGCAGACAGAGGAAGAAGAGAGGUAUAUGGCACAUGUACCAUAUUCCAGUAUUGUUGGUAGUAUUAUGUAUGCAAUGGUGUGUACACGUCCAGACAUUUCACAAGCAUUAAGUGUGGUAAGCCGAUAUAUGGCUUGCCCUGGUAAAGCACAUUGGCAGGUUGUGAAAUGGAUCCUCAGAUACUUGCGAGGUACUUCAAACACAUGUUUGGAGUUUGGGAGAAAUCCUAACACUUUGGUUGGUUUUGUAGACUCUGAUUAUGCAGGUGAUCUUGACAAAAGAAGAUCACUAAUAGACUAUAUUUUUUGCAUUGGUGGUUGUGCUAUCAGCUGGAAAGCUACAUUAUAAUAUGUAGUAGCUUUAUCUACUACCGAAGCAGAAUAUAUGGCAGUGACCGAGGCGAUCAAAGAAGCCUUAUGGUUGAAGGGUCUAUUUGCUAAACUCAGCUUACACCAAGGUGGUAUUAUCAUUUUCUGUGAUAGUCAAAGUGCCAUUCACUUGACUAAAUAUCAGAUGUAUCAUGAGAGGACGAAGCAUAUUGAUAUCAAGUAUCACUUCAUUCAGGAAACCAUUGCCGAAGGAAAGGUCUCUGUUAAGAAGAUUAGCACAAGAGACAACCCUGCCGACAUGUUCACAAAGUCUCUUCCGGUCAGCAAGUUCAAGCUUUGUUUGAACUUGAUUGACAUUUAUGAAGAAUAAUUUAGCCCAUAUGGGCUUCUGCGGAGAGAAUGGAGCAAAUUUACUAUUUUCACCAAACUCAGGCCAAGGUGAAGAUUUGUAAUGUGGCUUUUUGUUUUAUUGAACAAAGUUCUUUUAUCUUUCUUUUGUGAAAGAUUUGGAAGCCACAAAUGUUAAAAUUUGGCAUCCAUAUUUUUCAAAGAUUUGGCAACUAUAUUUGUCAAAGAUUUGGAAGCCACCAUAUUUGAUAUAUUCACAUUGAGAUGUUUAGUAUUUUGUAUCUUCCAAAGACAUCAUCCAAGACAUCAACAAGCCUAUUUUUUCCUCUAUAAAUAGGGAGCUUAGACAUUAGUUGAAACACACCUUGAAGCAUAUGAAAAUAUUUCAUUGUUUUCUUUCUUUGUCUUUCCAUUAAGAGUAAUUUUGUAAGAGAGUUUGUGUUGGGAAACACUCGUGUGAACCCUUUCUUUGGAGUGAUCUUGUGAGGUUAUUCUCUUUGGGUAUUUGAGAUUAAUUAGAGUAUUUACUCUAAUUUUAUACUCUCUUUUGUACUCUUGUUGAUAUAGUGAAAUUGCUCCUCUCUGCUUGUGGAUUAGGUCACACCGACCGAACUACGUUAAAUUUGUGUCUUCUUUAAUUGCUUUACUUUCGUUAUUAUCAACUUACUAUUGUCUUUGUUAUUGUCAUUAUAAUAUUGUUUGGCUAAAUUCCGCACUACCCGAGUUCACGAUCCUAACAAAGAUAAAGAAAAUUUCUAAUCCUAGACCUACAUCAACGAGGCCUGCGUAUCGGCCCAUUGAUGGUUUUGGAUAUGAUGAAUUUCAGGAUGAUUAUAAGGUAGUCUGUAUUUUCAAAACUAUAAAUUCAGAUCAAGUUGAGGACAACUUAUAGAGUUUAAACACGG
rnacentral:lncRNA from 1 species